UAUAAGAAACGGGACCAGAGGUCCAUAACACUCCAUUGCUAUGAGAAAAGUCAUCAAAAACAAAAGAAACAGUAGAGUUACCAUCCAGACUAAAGUAUGCUUAAUAAUCAGCAGGCAUGCUACCUUCAAGAAGAACAUGUUGAAUGAUCACCACCCAAUCACAGUUUUGGCAGCAGAGCACCACCCAAUAGCUCCGUGAGGCCACCUCUCCAGACUCCACUGCUAUCACUAACCAGUCCUCCCAAACCAGCUAUAACAGGACAGCACCAUAAUAUUUCAGUCACGCGGUUGUUACAAGCACCGAUAUUUAUUCAAAACUGUAACUUCUAGAUAGUAAUUACUCUGCUAUGGUUCAACUUUUUAUAGGAUUAGGAAAUUUGUGGUAAUAGAUCUUGAUGCGUGCCAGUUAUUGUUUUGUUACUUGUGCAGACAGCAGAGGAUUUUUUGGCUCAUCUGUUUGAACUUUGAAGAUGGCAUGCUCUGUGCAAUUCAUGCAAAACGCGUUACAUUAAUGAAAAGGGAUUUUGAGCUGGCUCAGCGGCUUGGAGGGAAGGGACAACCUUGGUGAGAGUAUGACAGUAAAAGAGCAUCACUUAUUGUAACCAACUUGUUAUGUAAUUAUGCGGUUGUUCUUUGGCAGCCAUCGCUUUCUAGCUGUUUAGCAGGUGUACUGGUAUGCAAUUAGCAAGCAAGAAGCAGUCUCGAUCCAUUUCACUCCACUUGCAAUGUGGCAGCGUCUAGAAAUUUACGAACACAGAAAAUUUGUGGUCCAUGAUAUUUUAGAUUAUAGAGAAGGUAGAUCCCAUGUCAAAGUUUCCUUGGAAUCCACAAAUCAUACUACGGUUAGAAAUGGCCAUUUAUUUUACUGUAAGCAUGUCCAGCACCCAUAUUUACUCCCGCUACUGUCAGGUUUUAUUAUUAUUAUUAUUGAAAAUGCUUGUUUUGAAGGGGGA